AUGGUCGCCUCCUCCGCGUCCUCCGCGGCGGCCGCGGCCGCGGAUUACACGCGCCGGGGCGAGGCCUUCGGGGCCGACCUGGCCGCCGCCGCCAGGACCGCCGUCGACACCGCCCACGCGCACGCCUACUCCUCCGCCGUCGCCGCGUCCGACGCCGCCAACGCGGCCAUGGCCGGCGCGCUCGCCGCCGUCCCCACCCUCACCCAGGCCGCAAAGGAAGAGCUGGAAUGGGUGAAGAAGGAGUACUUUGCUCGUGAGCAGAUGGCGCUGGGCAAGAUCAAAGAGGGUGUCAUCAUGGCCAUCGAGCAUCCGGGCAUCGCUGCGGGCUCAGCUACGGUUGCAGGAAUCGUGCUGCUCAAAAGGCCAAGGAGCUACCUAAUCCAACGUGUACGGCGUGUAUUUGUCAGCAAGGAGACCCUACUUUCUGGCAUCCAGGCUGAAGUGAAUCACAUGCGGCAAACAGUGAAUCUUAUGUCGAAUGAAAGCCAAAAACUGAUGGAUCGAGCUGCAACAGCAGAAAAGAGAUUCCAGAAAGGGUGGAAUACACUCAGGGAAGAAGGGCGUGCCAUUCAAAGUGAGUUAAAGCAAAUCAGUGAUAUUGAAAACCAAGCAGUAGGUCUCAAGGGAAUUCUCGAUCAGCUUCCAAGAGCACAUGCAUCGGAAUUUCGAUCAGAGAUUUCCGGCCUAGCCUCUCAGGUCAAGAAGGAGAAGCGUGUGCUCAACUCCGCCCUGACGAAGAUUGUGAAUUAUGGCGUCCCUAUCUAA
rnacentral:rRNA from 1 species